rnacentral:rRNA from 1 species
CCUACGGGUGGCAGCAGUGAGGAAUAUUGGUCAAUGGGCGAGAUACUGGACCAGCCAAGCCGCGUGAGGGACGACGGCCCAAUGGGUUGUAAACCUCUUUUGUCGGGGAACAAAACCUGGGACGUGUCCCCGACUGCGUGUACCCGCAGCAAAAGCAUCGCCUAACUCCGUGCCAGCAGCCGCGGUAAUACGGAGGAUGCGAGCGUUAUCCGGAUUUAUUGGGUUUAAAGGGGGCGUAGGCGGUACGUUAAGUCAGCGGUAAAAUGUCGGUGCUCAACCCCGUCCGGCCGUUGAAACUGGCAGACUUGAGUGGGCGAGAAGUACGCGGAAUGCGCGGUGUAGCGGUGAAAUGCAUAGAUAUCGCGCAGAACUCCGAUUGCGAAGGCAGCGUACCGGCGCUAGACUGACGCUGAGGCACGAAAGCGUGGGGAUCGAACAGGAUUAGAUACCCGAGUAGUC